GUUGCCGGCCCUCCGCAAUGCAAGGCUUACCUCUAGGAUAAAAAGAAAAUUAACUCAUCCGCCAGCGUGAUAUCGCUAUCUCCAAAGAAAGGGCUUCAACCCAGGAACGUCGGCAAGAUGUCCUGUCAGCGAGCCUCCUGCAACCUUCCCCUGGACAUGGGCCGGUGCGGCGAGGCGAUCACCAUGUACUUCUACGACAAGUUCGCGCGUACGUGCCGGCCCUUCUCUUACGGAGGAGCCGGGGGCAACUACAACCGCUUUCCCUCCUUCGGUGACUGCAUGGACAGGUGCCACGUCGUGGGCUGACAGCUGCGCCAUGCUGGGACGCUCUCUGCCAAUGUGACGCCCUCUCUGCCACGGACGCGGCGUCUUGUGUGAAGACAACCCUACGAAUAAAGUAAUCCACCUUGGAGUUAACUAGACGGCCUAAUCGGCUGAAAAUGAAGAGAAGGUAGAACCGGGACAUACACAAAAGAAAGGUCCAUGUUUGCAAUGAACGACCAUAUGCCAUAGACAACAACUAAAAAAUAAACUAUAUAUGGGAUGUUCGGCAAAAAAAAAAAAAAAAAAAACUGCGGCUGGAAGCCCGUUCCAUGGCAAGCUUCCGGUCUCCCUUGCACUCUGUGGCACCGACACACGCGCCAUUGGUCACCAAUCGCUGCUUCCGGAGCUCGUUGAGGAACCAGCGCUAGUAAGACGCCGAUAGUACGUCUACACGCCAUGAUGAUGCCUUUGUGUCAUUCACACCC